rnacentral:rRNA from 1 species
AUCAAGCAAUCGCGUGUGUGAAGAAGGCCNNAGGGUUGUAAAGCACUUUCAGUGGGGAGGAGGGNUNAUAGGUUAAGAGCUGAUUAACUGGACGUUACCCACAGAAGAAGCACCGGCUCACUCCG